AGGCUUGCUGAGAUGUACAAAAACAAGAACAUAACACAGCAGGUGUCUCCAGACAGACAACUUCCCAUGGGUGCCCUUCUCAACAGCAGGCCCAGAGGACAUCUUAUAGGACAGCAACUCUCAGCUGUUUUCAUUCUUUAUCCUGCCCUGGUGUCUCUCACUGAUGUAGUAACAUCACUGAGAUGUUGGAGCAAAUGCUCCAAGGACAACCUGCUGUGGUUGAAAGGGGAUGCAGCCCAGGACUGGAGCAAACUGAGACACUUCAGACCAAAGCAAACCCCUUGCCUACCUCGCCAUGCCUCCUCAGAAAGACCUUCCACGUGAACGAGACAUAUGAUGUAUGAUGUCAGUGAUGCAAAGAAGUUUUUUCCUCAAGAUGUAUCAAAUAUUUGGGUCAAAAAAGAAAGGGUAUAACUCUCUGGUGUUGGAGGAGUGCUCAGCACAGCCUGUACGUGCUCACAAGGGCAGAUUUUACCCACGGCAGAGCCAGAGCAGAUCCAAAUGAAGGACAAAGGUAUUUGCUCUG